AUUCCGUGAUGAGGGCACUUUCUUAAUAAUUCUUUAAAUCUCUCCCACACCUCAUACAAGGAUUCAUCAUCCAUUUGCUGGAAGGUAGUGAUCUCAUUUUGCAACU
rnacentral:snoRNA from 1 species